GACGUAGGGCGCGAGCGUUGUCCGGAUUUAUUGGGCGUAAAGAGCUCGUAGGCGGCUUGUCGCGUCGACCGUGAAACCUCACAGCUCAACUGUGAGCCUGCGGUCGAUACGGGCAGGCUAGAGUUCGGUAGGGGAGACUGGAAUUCCUGGUGUAGCGGUGAAAUGCGCAGAUAUCAGGAGGAACACCGGUGGCGAAGGCGGGUCUCUGGGCCGAUACUGAUGCUGAGGAGCGAAAGCGUGGGGAGCGAACAGG
rnacentral:rRNA from 1 species